UAGGGAAUCUUCGGCAAUGGACGAAAGUCUGACCGAGCAACGCCGCGUGAGUGAAGAAGGUUUUCGGAUCGUAAAACUCUGUUGUUAGAGAAGAACAAGGACGUUAGUAACUGAACGUCCCCUGACGGUAUCUAACCAGAAAGCCACGGCUAACUACGUGCCAGCAGCCGCGGUCAUACGUAGGUGGCAAGCGUUGUCCGGAUUUAUUUGGCGUAAAGCGAGCGCAGGCGGUUUCUUAAGUCUGAUGUGAAAGCCCCCGGCUCAACCGGGGAGGGUCAUUGGAAACUGGGAGAAUUGAGUGCAGAAGAGGAGAGUGGAAUUCCAUGUGUAGCGGUGAAAAGCGUAGAUAUAUGGGGGAACAACAGUGGCGAAAGCGGCUCUCUGGUCUGUAACUGACGCUGAGGCUCGAAAGCGUGGGGAGCAAACAGG
rnacentral:rRNA from 1 species